GAAAGGCCAAUCAAACCGGGAGAUAGCUGGUUCUCCCCGAAAGCUAUUUAGGUAGCGCCUCGUGAACUCAUCUUCGGGGGUAGAGCACUGUUUCGGCUAGGGGGCCAUCCCGGCUUACCAACCCGAUGCAAACUACGAAUACCGAAGAAUGUUAUCACGGGAGACACACGGCGGGUGCUAACGUCCGUCGUGAAGAGGGAAACAACCCAGACCGCCAGCUAAGGUCCCAAAGUCAUGGUUAAGUGGGAAACGAUGUGGGAAGGCACAGACAGCCAGGAUGUUGGCUUAGAAGCAGCCAUCAUUUAAAGAAAGCGUAAUAGCUCACUGGUCGAGUCGGCCUGCGCGGAAGAUGUAACGGGGCUAAACCAUGCACCGAAGCUGCGGCAGCGACACUAUGUGUUGUUGGGUAGGGGAGCGUUCUGUAAGCCGUUGAAGGUGUGCUGUGAGGCAUGCUGGAGGUAUCAGAAGUGCGAAUGCUGACAUAAGUAACGAUAAAGCGGGUGAAAAGCCCGCUCGCCGGAAGACCAAGGGUUCCUGUCCAACGUUAAUCGGGGCAGGGUGAGUCGACCCCUAAGGCGAGGCCGAAAGGCGUAGUCGAUGGGAAACAGGUUAAUAUUCCUGUACUUGGUGUUACUGCGAAGGGGGGACGGAGAAGGCUAUGUUAGCCGGGCGACGGUUGUCCCGGUUUAAGCAUGUAGGCUGAUUGUCCAGGCAAAUCCGGAUAAUCAAGGCUGAGGUGUGAUGACGAGGCACUACGGUGCUGAAGUAACAAAUGCCCUGCUUCCAGGAAAAGCCUCUAAGCAUCAGGUAACAUUAAAUCGUACCCCAAACCGACACAGGUGGUCAGGUAGAGAAUACCAAGGCGCUUGAGAGAACUCGGGUGAAGGAACUAGGCAAAAUGGUGCCGUAACUUCGGGAGAAGGCACGCUGAUGUGUAGGUGAAGCCCCUGCGGGCGGAGCUGAAAUCAGUCGAAGAUACCAGCUGGCUGCAACUGUUUAUUAAAAACACAGCACUGUGCAAACACGAAAGUGGACGUAUACGGUGUGACGCCUGCCCGGUGCCGGAAGGUUAAUUGAUGGGGUUAGCUGUAAGGCGAAGCUCUUGAUCGAAGCCCCGGUAAACGGCGGCCGUAACUAUAACGGUCCUAAGGUAGCGAAAUUCCUUGUCGGGU
rnacentral:rRNA from 1 species